rnacentral:rRNA from 1 species
CGAACUUGAAAUACCGCUACCUUGAACGAUAACUUGCUUACGGGGUUGCGUACUAUGGCACUUAGUGCCUGGUUCUAGACUUACGCGGGUAGCAAGCCAUAUGGGCAACUGUGUGGCCUCUGCUCCGCAAAGUAGGUCCCGGACAUCGUCAGACGGGGAGUUUGGCUGGGGCGGCACAUCUGUUAUACGACAACACAGGUGUCCUAAGGCGAGCUCAGCGGGGACAGAAACCCCGCGUAGAGCAAAAGGGCAAAAGCUCGUUUGAUUUUGAUUUUCAGUACUAAUACAAACCGCGAAAGCGUGGCCUAUCGAUCCUUUAGAGAUCGGAGCGUGAUGCUAGAGGUGUCAGAAAAGUUACCACAGGGAUAACUGGCUUGUGGCUGCCAAGCGUUCAUAGCGACGUAGCUUUUUGAUCCUUCGAUGUCGGCUCUUCCUAUCAUUGUGAAGCAGAAUUCACCAAGUGUUGGAUUGUUCACCCUCUAACAGGGAACGUGAGCUGGGUUUAGACCGUCGUGAGACAGGUUAGUUUUACCCUACUGAUGCAUAUCCUGACCGUAGCUCAAUAUAGUACGAGAGGAACAAUUGAGUAGGGUCGCUGGUCAAGCUGCUGGCUGAAACGCCAGUGCAGCGAGGCUAUCACCCUCUAGAUUAUGGCUGAACGCCUCUAAGCCAGAAUCUAAUCGGUAAAGGAUACGAUGCGGCGCUGAAUAGACAAAGAUAGAUUCGUUCAAUGUCAGCGGGCUCAGUAUCUAGAUGGUCUUAGUGCCGUCGAUGCGGGCUCAACAAAAGGAUUUCGCGUUGCUAUGAACUCCCAGAAGACGACUGGGUAUGUGCUGGGUACUGUACGUGGCUGAGUAGCCUCCGUGCUACGAACUGCUGAGGUUUCC